GGCUUAAUUGGAUUAACAAGAAAUAUCACAAUACUAAAAGGUGAAUAUCUUCCACUCUAAAGCUAUCCACAUCAAAUUAAAUAAUCCACCAAUCAAAAUACAUUUAAGUGGCAUAUCAUUUCUGAAUUACCACAUCAAUUUUAUUAAGACCAUUGGGCUUCUCCGGAAAACGAUUAAUCAUAGACCUUUGCCUUUCUUCUUCCAAAACGAAAAAGUUUUAUAACUCUUACUUUGCUUUCACUUUCCAAACUCUUUUCUUCUUCUCUUCCCUAUCCAUAAAUUUUGUUUCAGAUCUCUAAUUAUAACAUUGAUUCUUAUCCCUUGAAAUCACCUCCUUCGGUCAAAAAGAAAGAAUCAAUGGUGAUUAGUCUCAUAGAUGAGUGAUGGUCGUGUAAUCAUAUUCAUGUCCUCAUAAUCAGCUUUGCAUCAAGAAGAAGCUGAGAGUAACCAAUACAUAUAUUUUGAGUACUUUCCCCAAAUCUUAUUUAUCCUCUACUUGAAACAAUGGUACGUGAUUAUUGCCAAAUUUUGAAUUGUUGUGCCGUUGGUUAAGUAGGAGAAUCUUAUGUUUGUUAUCUGAAAUUAGGAGACCAAAGAAGAGAAGAAGAUCCUCACAGAGGAAGAACCUGAAUGGAAGAAAAGAAAGCUGUCAAGGUUUGGCUUUUGAUUUUUUUUUGUUUUCUUCAAAUGGUUAGAAUCAACGUAGUUAGCCACUAAACAUUAAGGAAUAAGAGGAAAUAAGUGUGUCUUAGUUCAAAAAAAAGAGAGGAAAUAAGUGUGUCUUCUGAUUUGUGUUAUACUCUUUUGUAUUUGUGAUGCACAAAGCUCGGUCCAGAUUUUUACGUAUUUGAGAAGAAAGAUUUGAGAGUACUAUGAAAAAACUAAUUUAAGUUAUUGUAUCUAAAGGUAUUUGAUCCCUCACUCCAGAUACAUUUCAUAUUAGAUCCGUCACUCCAGAUAUUUCUUUCGUUUUCAGAUUUAUAUCUUUAAUCUCUUAUGUUUACUGAUGAUUUAAUGACCACUCCCUCUCAUAUAUUGAAUGAUUUUGAUUUACCAAGUCCUUGAAAACUCUCCCUUCCACGGUCUUAUUAGGAAGCAACUGAAGGAGGGACAUAGAUCUUUCCAACUGUUCGACCCUGUUGUAUUGUGCAGCAUGUGAAACCAGAGGAAGGUAACCUAUAUAUGGUAUUUGGUCCUCUCUUUUUGCUCAUUUUUGUUUUUUUAAUAAAGAAAUUUUAGCUUGAGCAUGUCAUGUUUUGGACUCCUGUCCCACUAAUCAGGAUAUGCUCCAGAACCAAUUGAUGUUCGAAGGAUAUUAUAUGCAGACAUUCUCUCAAAUGUAGGGGAAGUCACAUUACAAUAGAUGGUCCAGUUGAUCCUGGUUGGUUUUACAAAAACUAUCCACGAUUCAAAUUUUUAAGUGGCAGAAGGUGAAUGAUGGGCUUAUCGAACUGCAGAUUUUUGCUUGGAAUCCCGAGUAGAGUCUCUGAUUCAAAAUUCAAACAGUGAAUUCAGCGUAUGUUACAACGUUCAUCUGUUUUUUUUUCUGGGAAAGAGUUGCAUUGAGUUUAUGUUCCACUAAGCUGAAUAUUUUGAACUCUUUUUCAGGUGAUUAUAUUACAGAUGAAUGAACAAGACUGCAUCCUGAUCUCAUGUCUUUACCCUUGGAAGACGAGAAUAAAAUUAUCUCUAGGAUGGAUCACAAAGGCAAGAGAAAUGUAAUUGACAUAUAUGCAGCUCUGUGGAAUUAGAGGCAAUAUUAAAGCUCCUGCCAAGGCAUUGUUCGGGCAACCAGAAAGAGCCUAAAUUUUUAACCUUUUUAGUCAGAACAAACAAGAGCGUAACGCAGCCAUAGUCCUUGCUCGCUCUUUUGAUUGCAAUGUAAGAAAAACUAUUCAAAAUGUAAAAUCUUCUGUUAAAAUUAUAUUCUCAGACAUUGAAAAUCAUUGUGGGUUUAUUUACACAAUACAGUUUUAAAUAUAGGAGUUGAGGCUUAUAUGCUGGUAACAUUGCUUGGGCUAAGAUGAUCAAACAAUGGUGAAUGAGUCAUUGUCAUUAACCACAACCACCAGUUUUAUUGUUGUGUGUGUUGUUUGUUUUUUCACUGUGGUUCAAAGAAGGAAGGUGCAAGUCUGGGUUCUCACUGACCAUCCAAUAUUGCGGCAUAGAGUUUCACUAUAAGCAGCAUAUUUCAUUUUUACUUCUUUUUUUUUUUAAUAUGGAUCAUCGUUUUAAUUAGGUUGCCAUUUCUGAUUUGUUUUGGUUUGUUCUUGAAUUUAGAUUAUAUUGUCAAAUAUAUGGUCAGGUCUCUUGUGGUUGAAUCAAUAGUCUAAUGAAUUUGUGUGUUAUCUAUACUUCUGAAACAUAUGAGUUUCCACGCUACUUCAGGGGCAUAGUUGGUCGUGUGGCAAACUGGAUCUAAGACGGCAAAUGUAGACUCAGGGGAAUCGACUACACCUCCCAUCAAUAAGGCCUCUAAACAGCUUCCAUGGUAUGUAAGACUUAUCUCUUCUUUUGUAUGAUUAUAUAUCAUUUUGCAAAGUUCAUCAGAUAUGUGUAAAACAUCAAUGUUACUCAUAAAUAUGGGAUGUAGCAGAAGACGGUGAAAGACCUUUCAUCACUUUCAAAUAUCACAUAUCUGGUCGAGAAGAAGGUCCCUACAUCUAUAUAUGGGAUUAACGUUGCAGAAAAGAUCUUUUUUCAUCAUUUAUCUUAUACCUCUUGGAUAGGUUAUCCUGGUGCAGUUUCUAACACACCGACAUACAUUCUCAUGUCAGAAACUACCAUGAAACUUAACAUGGAGGCAUCUGCAGAGAACAAAAACACUCCGAUUAACUUAGCUCAGAAUACGUACUGGAACUUGGCGGGUAAUGCCUCAUGGAACAUUGUUGACCACAUGAUCCAGAUUUGGGGUCCACAUAUCACCCAUGUGGAUCAACACACAGAUCAUGCGAGAUUCUUACGGGAAAGGGAUCUCCUUUCGCUUUCACCACAAGAAAUGGAUAGGCGAGUCUACAAGAGAGGUGGGCAUAAGAUAUGAUCAUAACUACGUAUUGGACUGUCCUGAUCAAGAGAAGGACGGGCUGAAACAUGCAACAAAGCUGAAGGACGGUGCGAGUGAACAAGUGAUUUUACAUGGAUGUGGUUUAGGUAACUGAUUGGAAUAACUGGCCGUUUAAAUUAUUUAUGUCUUCAUAUAUAUAUAAAUUUUAAAAGUCACGGUUACUAUAUAAUUACAAGGAGACUUGGAUUUUUCCAGAGACAUGUUCAUUUUCUCAUUCAAAAAUAAUAUUCCAAAGCUUUGGCUAUUGAAUUGUUUUUGACUAUCCAAAAACAAUAUAUGGAGUUUUUGAAUUUUGACUCAUUAACACAAAUAAGUAUUGCUGACUCAAAAGUAUUUGAAUUACACAAAAUAUUAUAAAUUUUUAAAGUUAUUGAUCAUCAAUUAUCUAAACUAUCGCUUUAAAUAUAUGUUACAUCAAAAUAAAGUUUGGACUAUUACUUUUCUUUGAAUAGUUUUAAGAUUAAAAAUUAGUCAGUCUCUUAUGUAGAAGGAUUAACUUAUUGUUGGAUCUAUAAAAGUACGAACAUUAUGGUAACGUCAUAAAUUUUUGUACUAAAAUUAUAACAAGCUUAUAGACAUUAUUAAAAAAGUUUAAAGAAAUAUUGAAGAACAAAUAUUAAAAUACAGAAAAUAGUACUACAUCACUUCAUAUAAAAAGUAAGAGGAGUUGAACGAGCAAGGGAAAAACCACCCACAAUACACCUUUGUCAUGUUCUUUGUUGUAAUUGGGUAUUUUGGUUUAUCAGAACGUAACUCUGUCUUUAAAACUAGACCAAAAAAACUCUGUUUUAAAAUAAGAAAAGUUUUUUUACAUUGGCCUAUAACAAUAAUUAUUGCCUAUUUACAUAUAAAACAAUGUAAAAAUAAAUUAUAUAGUAAUAAAGUAUAUUAUAAAAAUUAAAUAAUACAGAAAUAAAAUAUUAAACAUGAUUUGAAUAAUAAAUAUAAAAAAUGUGAUGUUAAGAUUAAUAAUAUAUUUUCAAACUAACCAAAAUAUGUAAAAAAAAAUAUUUUGGAUAAUAACUAAAGUUUAACAAUUUUUAAUUCAUUUCACAUGUGUUCAUCAUCCCAUACAUAUUUUAGAUGAUAAAAA